CUAGCCGUAAACGAUGGGUACUAGGUGUGGGUGGUUUCGAUACCAUCCGUGCCGUAGUUAACGCAUUAAGUACCCCGCCUGGGGAGUACGUGCGCAAGCAUGAAACUCAAAGGAAUUGACGGGGGCCCGCACAAGCGGUGGAGCAUGUGGUUUAAUUCGAAGCAACGCGAAGAACCUUACCAGGUCUUGACAUCCCUUGAAAACCUCAGAGAUGAGGCCUCUCUUCGGAGCAAGGAGACAGGUGG
rnacentral:rRNA from 1 species